CCAGUGCUCCGCCUUCGCCGUAAGCGCGACUUCCCGCCCCCUGCUCCCCAGGGCCAUCCCCUCUUGGCCGCCUGGGGGCAGCGCGGGGCUGAGCCCGGCCACAGCCCCCCUCGCCUCGGCUUCCGGGAUGCCAGGUAAAAAACCAAGAACCUCCGAACACGCUUUUCCAAGUGGCAGUAUGGAAACUCACCAAACUGGGGCACAGAUCUGCUCUGGAGUCCUCCGCACUGACAGCUCUUUUAAAGCCUUUUUUUUUUCUUUCUAAUAAUAAAAUAAAAAUUCUGGGCAAUCUUGGG